rnacentral:miRNA from 14 species
UCACACGGGACUUGUUAAAAUGCAGAGUCGGCUUCAAUAUGUCUGAUUCUGCAUUUCUAACAAGCUCCCAGGGGAUGCCA